rnacentral:lncRNA from 1 species
CUGCUCCAUACUGCCUGCUGUGUUGCUGAUGUCUUGCACAGGUGUGUGCCUUAUCCUUGGGACCUCUCCUAUGAAAAUCUCCCUUGGGCCUCUGGAUCACCUGAUCCAUGAUGCUAUGGCUGCCUUGGCCAGGCUGAGAGAUGUGGAAGUAAAUUGCCAAGGUAAGGCGAGAUCUGUAAAAACUGUACUGGCAAAGGAGAAAAAGAA